rnacentral:misc_RNA from 1 species
GGAAGUAAAAGUCGUAAUAAGGGCUCCGUUGGUGAACCAGCGGAGGGAUCAUUACCGAGUUUUUCUACUCCCGAACCCCUGUGAACUUAUACCUUUACUGUUGCUUCGGCGGGUUAACGCCCCGGAAGGCCCAAAAAGCCGCCGGAACCAGGCGCCCGCCGGGGGACCCAAACUCUUGCAUUUCUUACUUUGCAUGUCUGAGUGGAAUCAUAAACAAAUGAAUCAAAACUUUCAACAACGGAUCUCUUGGUUCUG